GACGAACGCUGGCGGCGCGCCUAACACAUGCAAGUCGAGCGGGAAGUCUUUUUAAGGAUUCUUCGGAUGAAUUAAAAGUGGAGAGCGGCGGACGGGUGAGUAACGCGUGAGAAACCUGCCCUAUACAGGGGGAUAGCCAUUGGAAACGAUGAUUAAUACCCCAUAUGACCACAGUAUCGCAUGAUACAGCGGUAGAAAACUCCGGUGGUAUAGGAUGGUCUCGCGUCUGAUUAGCUAGUUGGUGGGGUAACGCCUACCAGGCGACGAUCAGUAGCCGGCCUGAGAGGGUGACCGGCCACACUGGAACUGAGACACGGUCCAGACUCCGUACGGGAGGCAGCAGGUGGGGAAUAUUGCAACAAGUGGGACGAAAGCCUGAUGCAGCGACGCCGCGU
rnacentral:rRNA from 1 species